rnacentral:rRNA from 1 species
AGGGUUCGAUUCUGGCUCAGGAUGAACGCUGGCGGCGUGCAUAACACAUUCAAGUCGAACGGGCAGUAUUCCUUCGGGGGUGCUGCUAGUGGCGGACGGGUGAGUAACGCGUGAGCAACCUGCCUCUGUGAGUGGAAUAACACAGGGAAACUUGUGCUAAUACCGCAUGACGAAGCGAAGCCGCAUGACUUUGCUUCCAAAGAUUUAUCGCACAGAGAUGGGCUCGCGUCCGAUUAGGCAGUUGGUGAGGUAACGGCUCACCAAACCGACGACCGGUAGCCGGACUGAGAGGUUGAACGGCCACAUUGGAACUGAGAUACGGUCCAGACUCCUACGGGAGGCAGCAGUGGGGAAUAUUGGGCAAUGGGCCGCAAGCCUGACCCAGCGACGCCGCGUGAGGGAAGAAGGUCUUCGGAUUGUAAACCUCUUUGACAGGGGACGAAGUAAGUGACGGUACCCUGAAAACAAGCCACGGCUAACUACGUGCCAGCCGCCGC